CUGGUAUUGUGGAUUGUAUUGGGGCUGGUAUUGUGGAUUGUAUUGGGGUUGGUAUUUGAGCUGGUAUUGGGGCUGGUAUUGUGGAUUGUUUUGGGGCUGGUAUUGUGGAUUGUUUUGGGGCUGGUAUUGGGCUGGUAUUGUGGAUUGUUUUGGGGCUGGUAUUGUGGAUUGUUUUGGGGCUGGUAUUGGGGCUGGUAUUGUGGAUUGUAUUGGGGCUGGUAUUGUGGAUUGUAUUGGGGCUGGAAUUGGGGUUGGUAUUGGGGCUGGUAUUGUGGAUUGUAUUGGGGCUGGUAUUGGGGCUGGUAUUGUGGAUUGUAUUUGGGCUGGUAUUGUGGAUUGUAUUGGGGCUGGUAUUGGGGCUGGUAUUGUGGAUUGUAUUUGGGCUGGUAUUGUGGAUUGUAUUGGGGCUGGUAUUUGGGCAGGUAUUGUGGAUUGUAUUUGGGCUGGUAUUGUGAAUUGUAUUGGGGCUGGUAUUGGGGCUGGUAUUUGAGCUGGUAUUGGGGCUGGUAUUGUGGAUUGUAUUGGGGCUGGUAUUGUGGAUUGUAUUGGGGCUGGUAUUGUGAAUUGUAUUGGGGCUGGUAUUGGGGCUGGUAUUGGGGCUGGUAUUGGGGCUGGUAUUUGAGCUGGUAUUGGGGCUGGUUUGUGGAUUGUUUUGGGGCUGGUAUUGUGGAUUGUUUUGGGGCUGGUAUUGGGGCUGGUAUUGUGGAUUGUAUUGGGGCUGGUAUUGUGGAUUGUAUUGGGGCUGGUAUUUGAGCUGGUAUUGGGGCUGGUAUUGUGGAUUGUAUUGGGGCUGGUAUUGUGGAUUGUAUUGGGGCUGGUAUUUGAGCUGGUAUUGGGG
ensembl:lncRNA